rnacentral:rRNA from 1 species
CACGGGGGGGAGCAAGCGUUGUCCGGAAUUACUGGGCGUAAAGAGCUCGUAGGUGGUUUGUCGCGUUGUCCGUGAAAACUCACAGCUUAACUGUGGGCGUGCGGGCGAUACGGGCAGACUGGAGUACUGCAGGGGAGACUGGAAUUCCUGGUGUAGCGGUGGAAUGCGCAGAUAUCAGGAGGAACACCGGUGGCGAAGGCGGGUCUCUGGGACGGUACUGACGCUGAGGCGCGAAAGCGUGGGGAGCAAACAGG